UCUCUUUUAUUUCCUCACCCGCAUGCCCUAAAACCAACGUCGACACCUCCCUUACCCGAUUCCCCUUUCUCCUCCUCCUUCGCCAUUUCUCUUCUCCCCCAAGCCCUCACGCGACGGCGCCUCCUUGUCCCCCUCGCCCGAGCACCCCACCACCGGCAACUUCUUCUCCCUCGAGCCACGACCGUCGGCUCUCCUCGCACGAGCACCACACAGCUCUGCCAGGUACACCUCUCCUCUGGCCUCUGCUCUGCACAGCCCGACCUUUAGCUAAAGAGUGGGAAAUCCGAGCCCUAGCUUCUUCCCUCGUCGCUGCAUUCGUGCGCUACAGCUCCGGCCACGACUGCCUGCGUUGUGGUUCGACCGUUGGCCGAGACUUUCUCUCGAUCAUGCGAGAUGCUACCCUGAAUUGGCCGAUCCUCUCUAUGCCACCACCGAUCCUCUUCUCUCCGUGUCGUGCCUUAGCUGGUCUCGCAGGACACUGCUACGAGCCAAGUGUUCUGAAGUGGAGACAGCCUAGCACGAUCGACAAGUAAAAGUAACAGAUAGAUGAGUCAUGGAUGCUUGGAGAGAUGUCGGCUGCCAGUCCUAGGUACUACGUCACACUCGUGGAUAAUUUUCGUUUUAGUUUUGUUAUCGUUUGGGGUGGUAUAUUGAUUUUGUGUAUUCUGCUUUUCAAUAAGUCGAUGUGAAGUUUGAGUCAAGUCUGUGAUGACAGGUAUUUUUGUUAGUGCCAUUG